rnacentral:rRNA from 1 species
AUUGAACGCUGGCGGCAUGCCUUACACAUGCAAGUCGAACGGUAACGGGCCUUCGGGUGCCGACGAGUGGCGAACGGGUGAGUAAUACAUCGGAACGUGCCCGAUCGUGGGGGAUAACGAGGCGAAAGCUUUGCUAAUACCGCAUACGAUCUACGGAGGAAAGCAGGGGACCGCAAGGCCUUGCGCGGACUGAGCGGCCGAUGGCAGAUUAGGUAGUUGGUGGGAUAAAAGCUUACCAAGCCGACGAUCUGUAGCUGGUCUGAGAGGAUGAUCAGCCACACUGGGACUGAGACACGGCCCAGACUCCUACGGGAGGCAGCAGUGGGGAAUUUUGGACAAUGGGCGCAAGCCUGAUCCAGCCAUGCCGCGUGCAGGAUGAAGGCCUUCGGGUUGUAAACUGCUUUUGUACGGAACGAAAAGCCUUCUUUUAAUACAGGAGGGUCAUGACGGUACCGUAAGAAUAAGCACCGGCUAACUACGUG